AAGUCGUAACAAGGUUUCCGUAGGUGAACCUGCGGAAGGAUCAUUAAAAAUUUAUUUUCCGGGAAUUCGUUUCGUUUUCCCGGAUUAUUUGUAUUCAAAUCCCACUCUUUAUAAAUAUAAUAAUUAUAUAAAACAAAAAUAAAAAAGAAAACUUUCAACAACGGAUCUCUUGGCUCUC
rnacentral:misc_RNA from 1 species